rnacentral:lncRNA from 1 species
UAAUAGCUAGAGUAUGUGGACAUGAAAAAAAAUGAUAAGAAUGUAAUGUAAUUAUGUUAUUGAGGAUAGAGUUGUGCUUGACCAUAGUAUAUGUUAAUCCCUUGGUAUGUACAUGAUCUUGUGUUUUGAUAUUGAUGUAAACCAACUCACCAUAUGAUGUAUAGCCCUUGAGGCUUUGAUGAAAUCCCACAGAGGGAUUAAUGUUUAUGUAUAUGAUGAAUAUAGUGCAUGCACAGGUUGAGUUUGGUGAAUGAAGAAAAGAAAAGUUUUUAAUUCUUAUGUAUGUUUGAUGAUCAUGUAUGGGAUUAAACAGGUGAACAGGAUGUAUGUAGGCUUGCUACGGGUUCCGGCGGCCUUAAGCCGACCUGAAUCCUAGCGCCGGUAGCGGUCCGGAUUUCCGGGGCGUUACA